UGGCGGAGGGGAUGGGAUUCGAACCCACGAGACGACUCUACAUCGUCUAACGGUUUAGCAAACCGCCGCCUUCGGCCACUCGGCCACCCCUCC
rnacentral:tRNA from 1 species